rnacentral:lncRNA from 12 species
AUCCAUUCAGUGCAGCGACCACGCCGUCACUGAUCCCCUGGUUCCCUGUGGGCCUCGCCAGAGGACCCACUUUUGUUAAGGGGAUGGAAUGGAUGAGCUACAGAAAAAAGUUCUCCAGGUUAAAGCACUUACUCAGUGGAGGCCCCAUCAUCGCCUGAAACACUUCACCUCAUUCAAAGAAGAGAUAGCCCACAUCUACCUGCAAGUUUUACAUGAUGGGACUUUAAGGGCAUGGCUGUGUGCUGAUUGUGGUUUGGCGUGCCUCGCCUCGUGAACCUGGGUGGUAAAAUGAGCACCGGUGUGUCCUGUGACCUUGGGCAAUUGAGAAGAAUCAACUAGAUCUGUAUAUGUCAAUAUGUACACGUCACCCAAAUGUUGACGAUGUUGAGUGGAGAUAGCAACUUGCACAAAGGUACAGGAUGACACUAUCUGGGUAAAUUAAAAAAAAUAUAUAUACUAUAUCAUAUUUUCUAAUGGUAAUAUAUACUAAACAUAUUUAAAAACAUGUACAUACAAUGGAAUAUUCCUCAGCCAUUAGAAACCACAAAUACCCGCCAUUUGCGUCGACGAGGAUGGACCUGGAGGGUAUGAUGCUGAGUGAAGUAAGUCAAUCGGAGACGGACAAACAUUAUAUGGUCUCAUUCAUUUAGGGAAUAUAAAAAAUAGUGAAAGGGAAUAAAGGGGAAAGGAGAGAAAAUGAGUGGGAAAUA